UACAGAGGUCCCAAGCGUUGUUCGGAUUCACUGGGCGUAAAGGGUGCGUAGGUGGCAGGGUAAGUUUGAUGUGAAAUCUCCGAGCUUAACUCGGAAACUGCAUUGAAUACUAUCCUGCUCGAGGGUUGGAAGGGGGACUGGAAUUCUCGGUGUAGCAGUGAAAUGCGUAGAUAUCGAGAGGAAUACCAGUGGCGAAGGCGAGUCCCUGGACAACACCUGACACUGAGGCACGAAAGCUAGGGGAGCAAACAGG
rnacentral:rRNA from 1 species